AGAUUCGACAAUUAUAUUGACAGAGGACUUGAAACUGACCUAUGACUUCACUGCGGAAGGAUUGUUUUUCAAUGUUGACAGCCGAAUUGCGACACGUCAUAGGCUGGCGUAACGUGUCACGUCACCUUAUCAGUUCCACGUUAACCUGCAGCGCGUUUAUGAAGGACUCAGGCCGCUUUUUCUCACAGUUCGCAUUGGCCACGCGUCGAGAUACAAUUUUUUCAACGUUUGGACUAUCAUGCGGACGGCCGGAAUUGUGAUUCGUCAUACGCUGGUGUAACACCCUCGUCACCUUAUCAGUUCCACGUUAACCUCAAACCUGUAGCGCGGUUAUGAAGGACUCAGAUCGCCUCAGUUCGCAUUGACCACGCGUCGAGAU